AACCGCUUUCGGGCGGGGAUUAGUGGCGAACGGGUGAGUAACACGUGGGCAAUCUGCCCUGCACUCUGGGACAAGCCCUGGAAACGGGGUCUAAUACCGGAUAUGACUGUCCAUCGCAUGGUGGAUGGUGUAAAGCUCCGGCGGUGCAGGAUGAGCCCGCGGCCUAUCAGCUUGUUGGUGAGGUAGUGGCUCACCAAGGCGACGACGGGUAGCCGGCCUGAGAGGGCGACCGGCCACACUGGGACUGAGACACGGCCCAGACUCCUACGGGAGGCAGCAGUGGGGAAUAUUGCACAAUGGGCGAAAGCCUGAUGCAGCGACGCCGCGUGAGGGAUGACGGCCUUCGGGUUGUAAACCUCUUUCAGCAGGGAAGAAGCGAAAGUGACGGUACCUGCAGAAGAAGCGCCGGCUAACUACGUGCCAGCAGCCGCGGUAAUACGUAGGGCGCAAGCGUUGUCCGGAAUUAUUGGGCGUAAAGAGCUCGUAGGCGGCUUGUCACGUCGGUUGUGAAAGCCCGGGGCUUAACCCCGGGUCUGCAGUCGAUACGGGCAGGCUAGAGUUCGGUAGGGGAGAUCGGAAUUCCUGGUGUAGCGGUGAAAUGCGCAGAUAUCAGGAGGAACACCGGUGGCGAAGGCGGAUCUCUGGGCCGAUACUGACGCUGAGGAGCGAAAGCGUGGGGAGCGAACAGGAUUAGAUACCCUGGUAGUCCACGCCGUAAACGGUGGGCACUAGG
rnacentral:rRNA from 1 species